rnacentral:rRNA from 1 species
UACGGAGGGGGCUAGCGUUGUUCGGAAUUACUGGGCGUAAAGCGCACGUAGGCGGCUAUUCAAGUCAGAGGUGAAAGCCCGGGGCUCAACCCCGGAACUGCCUUUGAAACUAGAUGGCUAGAAUCUUGGAGAGGCGAGUGGAAUUCCGAGUGUAGAGGUGAAAUUCGUAGAUAUUCGGAAGAACACCAGUGGCGAAGGCGACUCGCUGGACGAUUGUUGACGCUGAGGUGCGAAAGCGUGGGGAGCAAACAGG